rnacentral:rRNA from 1 species
AUCGAACGCUGGCGGCAGGCCUAAUACAUGCAAGUCGAGCGGAGCUGCGGACGGGUGAGUAAUGCCUAGGAAUCUGCCUGGUAGUGGGGGAUCACGUACGGAAACGGGCGCUAAUACCGCAUACUAUCAGAUGAGCUUAGGUUGGAUUAGCUAGUUGGUGGGGUAAAGGCCUACCAAGGCGACGAGGCUUAACCGGUCUGAGAGGAUGAUCAGUCACACUUGAACUGAGACACGGUCCAGACUCCUACGGGAGGCAGCAGUGGGGAAUAUUGGGCAAUGGGCGAAAGCCUGAUCCAGCCAUGCCGCGUGUGUGAAGAAGGUCUUCGGAUUGUAAAGCUCUUUAAGUAGAGAGGCGUUACCAACAGAGUAAGCACCGGCUAACUUCGUGCCAGCAGCCGCGGUAAUAC